rnacentral:rRNA from 1 species
AGGAAGGUGGGAAUCCUUCCGGCCGAAUAUCUAAGGUUUCCAGAGUAAAGCUGAUCUGCUCUGGGUAAGUCGGGGCCUAAGGCGAGGUCGAAAGACGUAGUCGAUGGAUAACAGGUUGAAAUUCCUGUACUAUCCUGUAACAGAACUGUGGGGACACAGGCAGAGAGCGUGAGCCGGGAAUGGAAAGACCGGUACAAGCGAGGUAGGAGAAGAGUUGGCAGAUCCGCUCUUUAAUCUGAAGACGUGAUGUGGACUGAAAAUAAGUAGGGAAGCACGUGAGCUGACUGUCAAGAAAAGCCGCUAUUGUUUGCAGGAUACCCGUACCGUAAACCGACACAGGUGGAUGAGGAGAGAAUCCUAAGGCCGACGGGAGAAGCAUUGUUAAGGAACUCGGCAAAAUGACUCCGUAACUUCGGGAGAAGGAGUGCCAGUAAGAUGGCCGCAGAGAAUUGGCCCAAGCAACUGUUUAGCAAAAACACAGGUCUAUGCAAAACCGAAAGGUGAGGUAUAUGGGCUGACGCCUGCCCGGUGCUGGAAGGUUAAGGGGAGAGGUUAGCGCAAGCGAAGCUUUGAACUUAAGCCCUAGUAAACGGCGGCCGUAACAAUAACGGUCCUAAGGUAGCGAAAUUCCUUGUCGGGUAAGUUCCGACCCGCACGAAAGGCGUAAUGAUUUGGGCACUGUCUCAACAAUGCACCCGGUGAAAUUGAAAUACCAGUGAAGAUGCUGGUUACCUGCGCCAGGACGGAAAGACCCCAUGGAGCUUUACUCCAGCUUGAUACUGGGAUUCGGUAUUGCAUGUACAGGAUAGGUGGGAGGCUAGGAAAUGGUAACGCCAGUUGCCAUGGAGCCAAUGUUGGGAUACCACCCUUGCAGUACUGGGUUUCUAACCAGCAGCCGUGAUCCGGCUGGGGGACAAUGUCAGGUGGGGAGUUUGACUGGGGCGGUCGCCUCCGAAAGGGUAUCGGAGGCGCUCAAAGGUUCCCUCAGAAUGGUUGGAAACCAUUCGAAGAGUGCAAAGGCAGAAGGGAGCUUGACUGCGACACCGACGGGUGGAGCAGGUACGAAAGUAGGACUUAGUGAUCCGGUGGUAUAAAGUGGGAUUGCCAUCGCUCAACGGAUAAAAGCUACCCUGGGAUAACAGGCUUAUCACUCCCGAGAGUUCACAUCGACGGAGUGGUUUGGCACCUCGAUGUCGGCUCAUCGCAUCCUGGGGCUGAAGUAGGUCCCAAGGGUUGGGCUGUUCGCCCAUUAAAGCGGUACGCGAGCUGGGUUCAGAACGUCGUGAGACAGUUCGGUCCCUAUCCGGCGUGGGCGUAAGAUAUUUGAGAGGAGCUGUCCUUAGUACGAGAGGACCGGGAUGGACUGGCCGCUGGUGUAUCUGUUGUCUUACCAAAGGCAUAGCAGAGUAGCCAAGCCGGGAAGGGAUAAACGCUGAAGGCAUCUAAGCGUGAAGCCCCCCUCAAGAUGAGAUAUCUCAUAACGUCAAGUUAGUAAGACCCCUUGAAGACGACGAGGUAGAUAGGGCAGAGGUGGAAGUGUGGUAACACAUGGAGCUGACUGUUACUAAUAGGUCGAGGGCAUAACCAA